CCUUACCUGGCCUUGACAUACUAAGAACUUCCAGAGAUGGAUUGGUGCCUUCGGGAACUUAGAUACAGGUGCUGCAUGGCUGUCGUCAGCUCGUGUCGUGAGAUGUUGGGUUAAGUCCCGCAACGAGCGCAACCCUUUUCCUUAUUUGCCAGCGGGUUAAGCCGGGAACUUUAAGGAUACUGCCAGUGACAAACUGGAGGAAGGCGGGGACGACGUCAAGUCAUCAUGGCCCUUACGGCCAGGGCUACACACGUGCUACAAUGGUCGGUACAAAGGGUUGCUACCUCGCGAGAGGAUGCUAAUCUCAAAAAGCCGAUCGUAGUCCGGAUCGCAGUCUGCAACUCGACUGCGUGAAGUCGGAAUCGCGUAGUAAUCGCGGAUCAGAAUGCCGCGGUGAAUACGUUCCCGGGCCUUGUACACACCGCCCGUCACACCAUGGGAGUUUGUUGCACCAGAAGUAGGUAGUCUAACCGCAAGGAGGACGCUUACCACGGUGUGGCCGAUGACUGGGGUGAAGUCGUAACAAGGUAGGCGUAGAUGA
rnacentral:rRNA from 1 species